UACGUAGGGGGCAAGCGUUGUCCGGAAUCAUUGGGCGUAAAGAGCGUGUAGGCGGCCCGGUAAGUCCGCUGUGAAAGUCCAGGGCUCAACCCUGGGAUGCCGGUGGAUACUGUCGGGCUCGAGUCCGGAAGAGGAGUGUGGAAUUCCUGGUGUAGCGGUGAAAUGCGCAGAUAUCAGGAGGAACACCUGUGGUGUAGACAGCUUACUGGACCAUUUCUGACGCUGAGACACGAAAGCGUGGGUAGCAAACAGG
rnacentral:rRNA from 1 species